GUUCCAUAGACAUUUUGGCAUUCUGUCCACCUCCGUUAUAAUGUCUACAAACAUGAUUUUGGAGGUGGUCAGCAUGCCAAACGGGCUCUGUGUA
rfam:Vigna angularis cultivar Jingnong 6 chromosome 9, whole genome shotgun sequence.